rnacentral:rRNA from 1 species
AUUGAACGCUGGCGGCAGGCCUAACACAUGCAAGUCGAGCGGCAGCGGGAAAGUAGCUUGCUACUUUUGCCGGCGAGCGGCGGACGGGUGAGUAAUGCCUGGGGAUCUGCCCAGUCGAGGGGGAUAACUACUGGAAACGGUAGCUAAUACCGCAUACGCACUACGGGGGAAAGCAGGGGACCUUCGGGCCUUGCGCGAUUGGAUGAACCCGGGUGGGAUUAGCUAGUUGGUGAGGUAAUGGCUCACCAAUGCGACGAUCCCUAGCUGGUCUGAGGGGAUGAUCAGCCACACUGGAACUGAGACACGGUCCAGACUCCUACGGGAGGCAGCAGUGGGGAAUAUUGCACAAUGGGGGAAACCCUGAUGCAGCCAUGCCGCGUGUGUGAAGAAGGCCUUCGGGUUGUAAAGCACUUUCAGCGAGGAGGAAAGGUUGGUAGCUAAUAACUGCCAGCUGUGACGUUACUCGCAGAAGAAGCACCGGCUAACUCCGUGCCAGCCGCCGCGGUAACAC